AGCGAACGCUGGCGGCAGGCCUAACACAUGCAAGUCGAACGAACCCUUCGGGGUUAGUGGCGGACGGGUGAGUAACACGUGGGAACGUGCCUUUAGGUUCGGAAUAACUCAGGGAAACUUGUGCUAAUACCGAAUGUGCCCUUCGGGGGAAAGAUUUAUCGCCUUUAGAGCGGCCCGCGUCUGAUCAGCUAGUUGGUGAGGUAAUGGCUCACAAAGGCUACGAUCAGUAGCUGGUCUGAGAGGAUGACCAGCCACAUUGGGACUGAGACACGGCCCAAACUCCUACGGGAGGCAGCAGUGGGGAAUCUUGAGCAAUGGGCGAAAGCCUGACGCAGCCAUGCCGCGUGGAUGAUGAAGGUCUUAGGAUUGUAAAAUCCUUUCACCGGUGAAGAUAAUGACUGUAGCCGGAGAAGAAGCCCCGGCUAACUUCGUGCCAGCCGCCGCCGUAA
rnacentral:rRNA from 1 species